AGUGAACGCUGGCGGUAGGCCUAACACAUGCAAGUCGAACGGCAGCACAGUAAGAGCUUGCUCUUACGGGUGGCGAGUGGCGGACGGGUGAGGAAUACAUCGGAAUCUACUUUUUCGUGGGGGAUAACGUAGGGAAACUUACGCUAAUACCGCAUACGACCUACGGGUGAAAGCAGGGGAUCUUCGGACCUUGCGCGAUUGAAUGAGCCGAUGUCGGAUUAGCUAGUUGGCGGGGUAAAGGCCCACCAAGGCGACGAUCCGUAGCUGGCCUGAGAGGAUGAUCCGCCACACUGGAACUGAGACACGGUCCAGACUCCUACGGGAGGCAGCAGUGGGGAAUAUUGGACAAUGGGCGCAAGCCUGAUCCAGCCAUACCGCAUGGGUGAAGAAGGCCUUCGGGUUGUAAAGCCCUUUUGUUGGGAAAGAAAAGCAGCAGGUUAAUACCCCGCUGUUCUGACGGUACCCAAAGAAUAAGCACCGGCUAACUUCGUG
rnacentral:rRNA from 1 species